rnacentral:rRNA from 1 species
AUGGAGCCAAAAAAAAUCCAGCAAUAUAGGCCUAUUUGUCUGCUACGAUGUCCAUACAAGCUCAUUAUUAAAGUGUUGGACAAUAGAGCUUCCUUGUUUGCAGAUAUUCUAAUCAGCAAACAUCAAAAUGCAUUCAUAAAACGCAGGAAUAUUAUGGAUGGCAUUUUAACCCUUCAUGAAAUUCUUCAUCACACACAAAGGAAAAAGAAGAUUGGUGUGGUGUUGAAACUCGAUUUCGAAAAAGCAUAUGAUAAGAUCAAUUGGGAUUUCCUUCUUGAAUGCCACAGAAACAGGGGUUUUGGCCCGGUGUGGUGUGGGUGGAUCCAGAAUAUCCUUAAGAAUGGGACCAUUAAUAUCAAAGUGAAUAAUGAAAAAGGUCCUUACUUUCAAAGCUGCAAGGGUGUGCGACACGGGGACCCACACUCACCUUUUUUGUUCAAUAUGGCUGUGGAAGCCUUAUCCAAAAUGAUCCUGAAUGCUCAAAAAGAGAAAAUGAUAACAGGUCUAGCUCCGGACCUGAUUGAUGGGGGGGGGGUAGCUAUUCUCCAAUAUGCAGACGAUACAGUCGUGUGUUUUGAACAUGAUAAAGAAGCAGUGGUUAAUCUGAAACUCUUGCUUUAUCUGUUCGAACUUAUGUCAGGGCUUAAGAUUAAUUUUCUGAAGAGUGAAGUUCUGUGCAUUGGAGGGGAUGAUGAGACUCUUGCUUUUUAUUCUGAACUUUUUAAUUUCCAGAUUGGCCAUUUCCCUAUGAAAUACCUAGGGGUACCUGUGAGUUAUUCUACCCUCCGUGCGAUAGACUGGGAUUUUGUUGAUGACAAAUUCCUUAAAUGUUGUGAAUCCUAG